rnacentral:lncRNA from 1 species
GUUUUUGUUAUUUUUUUGCUGUUAGGUGCUAUCUAGGUUUAGUUAGCUUCGUUAGUUAGGUUAGUUAGUUAGUUAGCUUAAUAGAAAGAAUAGGAAGAAGAAGAAGAGGAGGAGGAGGAGAAGAGGAGAAGAGGAGGAGGAGGAGGAGAAGAAGAAGAAGAAGAAGAAGAAGAGGAGGAGGAGAAGACAAAAAUAAGAAGGAGAAGAAGAAAA